UCAGCGUCAGUAAUGGACCAGUAAGCCGCCUUCGCCACUGGUGUUCCUCCGAAUAUCUACGAAUUUCACCUCUACACUCGGAAUUCCACUUACCUCUUCCAUACUCAAGAUACCCAGUAUCAAAGGCAGUUCCAGAGUUGAGCUCUGGGAUUUCACCCCUGACUUAAAUAUCCGCCUACGUGCGCUUUACGCCCAGUAAUUCCGAACAACGCUAGCCCCCUUCGUAUUACCGCGGCUGCUGGCACGAAGUUAGCCGGGGCUUCUUCUCCGGAUACCGUCAUUAUCUUCUCCGGUGAAAGAGCUUUACAACCCUAAGGCCUUCAUCACUCACGCGGCAUGGCUGGAUCAGGCUUGCGCCCAUUGUCCAAUAUUCCCCACUGCUGCCUCCCGUAGGAGUUUGGGCCGUGUCUCAGUCCCAAUGUGGCUGAUCAUCCUCUCAGACCAGCUAUGGAUCGUCGCCUUGGUAGGCCUUUACCCCACCAACUAGCUAAUCCAACGCGGGCUCAUCAUACCCCGAUAAAUCUUUCCCCCGUAGGGCGUAUGCGGUAUUAAUUCCAGUUUCCCGGAGCUAUUCCGCAGGGCACGGUAGAUUCCCACGCGUUACUCACCCGUCUGCCACUCCCCUUGCGGGGCGUUCGACUUGCAUGUGUUAAGCCUGCCGCCAGCGUUCGUU
rnacentral:rRNA from 1 species